rnacentral:rRNA from 1 species
GCUACUGAACAAGCGGCGGACGGGUGAGUAAUGCUUAGGAAUCUGCCUAUUAGUGGGGGACAACAUCUCGAAAGGGAUGCUAAUACCGCAUACGUCCUACGGGAGAAAGCAGGGGAUCUUCGGACCUUGCGCUAAUAGAUGAGCCUAAGUCGGAUUAGCUAGUUGGUGGGGUAAAGGCCUACCAAGGCGACGAUCUGUAGCGGGUCUGAGAGGAUGAUCCGCCACACUGGGACUGAGACACGGCCCAGACUCCUACGGGAGGCAGCAGUGGGGAAUAUUGGACAAUGGGGGGAACCCUGAUCCAGCCAUGCCGCGUGUGUGAAGAAGGCCUUAUGGUUGUAAAGCACUUUAAGCGAGGAGGAGGCUACUUUAGUUAAUACCUAGAGAUAGUGGACGUUACUCGCAGAAUAAGCACCGGCUAACUCUGUGCCAGCAGCCGCGGUAAUACAGAGGGUGCAAGCGUUAAUCGGAUUUACUGGGCGUAAAGCGCGCGUAGGCGGCUAAUUAAGUCAAAUGUGAAAUCCCCGAGCUUAACUUGGGAAUUGCAUUCGAUACUGGUUAGCUAGAGUGUGGGAGAGGAUGGUAGAAUUCCAGGUGUAGCGGUGAAAUGCGUAGAGAUCUGGAGGAAUACCGAUGGCGAAGGCAGCCAUCUGGCCUACCACUGACUCUGACGUGCGAGAGCAUG